GCAUAUCAAUAAGCGGAGGAAAAGAAACCAACAGGGAUUGCCCCAGUAACGGCGAGUGAAGCGGCAACAGCUCAAAUUUGAAAUCUGGCCCCGUCCGGGGUCCGAGUUGUAAUUUGCAGAGGAUGCUUUCGGCGAGGCGCCUUCCGAGUGCCCUGGAACGGGCCGCCGGAGAGGGUGAGAGCCCCGUACGGUAGGACGCCGAGCCGGUGUAAAGCUCCCUCGACGAGUCGAGUAGUUUGGGAAUGCUGCUCUAAACGGGAGGUAAACCCCUUCUAAAGCUAAAUACCGGCCAGAGACCGAUAGCGCACAAGUAGAGUGAUCGAAAGAUGAAAAGCACUUUGAAAAGAGAGUCAAACAGCACGUGAAAUUGUUGAAAGGGAAGCGCUUGUGGCCAGACUUGCGCCCCGGCAGCUCAGCCGUCCCUCGCGGGCGGCGCACUCUGCCGGGCGCAGGCCAGCAUCAGCUCGUGGCGGGGGAGAAAGGCGGCGGGAACGUGGCUCUUCGGAGUGUUAUAGCCCGCCGCUAUGCCCUGCCGCGGGCUGAGGUACGCGCACCGCAAGGAUGCUGGCGUAAUGGCCAUCAGCGACCCGUCUUGAAACACGGACCAAGGAGUCGUCCUAGCAUGCGAGUGUUCGGGUGCAAAACCCCUACGCGAAAUGAAAGUGAACGGAGGUGAGAGCUUCGGCGCAUCAUCGACCGAUCCUGAUGUUCUCGGAUGGAUUUGAGUAGGAGCAUGCUGGGCCGGACCCGAAAGAAGGUGAACUAUGCUUGGAUAGGGCAAAGCCAGAGGAAACUCUGGUGGAGGCUCGCAGCGGUUCUGACGUGCAAAUCGAUCGUCAAAUCUGAGCAUGGGGGCGAAAGACUAAUCGAACCUUCUAGUAGCUGGUUUCCGCCGA
rnacentral:rRNA from 1 species